rnacentral:rRNA from 1 species
AUAACUAUUGGAAACGAUAGCUAAGACCGCAUAGGUGUCAUAACCGCAUGGAGAUGAUAUGAAAUAUGCUACGGCAUAGGUAGAGGAUGGACUUAUGGCGCAUUAGCUAGUUGGAGGGGUAACGGCCCGCCAAGGCGACGAUGCGUAGCCGACCUGAGAGGGUGACCGGCCACACUGGGACUGAGACACGGCCCAGACUCCUACGGGAGGCAGCAGUAGGGAAUUUUCGGCAAUGGGGGAAACCCUGACCGAGCAACGCCGCGUGAAGGAAGAAGUAAUUCGUUAUGUAAACUUCUGUCAUAGAGGAAGAACGGUGCGUGUAGGGAAUGACAUGCAAGUGACGGUACUCUAUAAGAAAGCCACGGCUAACUACGUGCCAGCAGCCGCGGUAAUACGUAGGUGGCGAGCGUUAUCCGGAAUUAUUGGGCGUAAAGAGGGAGCAGGCGGCACUAAGGGUCUGUGGUGAAAGAUCGAAGCUUAACUUCGGUAAGCCAUGGAAACCGUAGAGCUAGAGUGUGUGAGAGGAUCGUGGAAUUCCAUGUGUAGCGGUGAAAUGCGUAGAUAUAUGGAGGAACACCAGUGGCGAAGGCGACGAUCUGGCGCAUAACUGACGCUCAGUCCCGAAAGCGUGGGGAGCAAAUAGGAUUAGAUACCCUAGUAGUCCACGCCGUAAACGAUGCGUACUAAGUGUUGGGAGUCAAAUCUCAGUGCUG